UACGGAGGGUGCGAGCGUUGUCCGGAAUCACUGGGCUUAAAGGGCGCGUAGGCGGCAUUUCAAGUCCGGGGUGAAAGCCCCCAGCUUAACUGGGGAAGUGCCUUGGAUACUGGAGUGCUAGAGGGAGGUAGGGGUCGAGGGAACUUCUGGUGGAGCGGUGAAAUGCGUUGAUAUCAGAAGGAAUGCCGGUGGCGAAAGCGCUCGACUGGACCUCUUCUGACGCUGAGGCGCGAAAGCUAGGGGAGCAAACGGG
rnacentral:rRNA from 1 species